GACCUCCCUGGACCCCCCUCCAGGGACUGCGCUGGCCAACGAGGUGUCCCACGGACCAGUGCUGCUCCCUGGGGACACUGGAUCCUGCCGUCUUGCUGUGAUGGUUUCUCCAACACUUCCCCUCUCCCGCUCACAGCUCUAACACGCCUGUGGUCAUGAACUGCUGCCAAGCCAGCUGGGAACUGGAGCCAGCAGCCUUGGAGCAGGCGCGAAGCAUCCGUGGGCCUGAGCUGAAUGAGAAGGGGAGCACAAUCCAGCAGGUGUUUUCAACAUCCAGCCUCUCACUGUUUGUGCUGUACAGAGUUCUCCCUCCUGACAGUGUUCUUCUCAAGGAGACAGUCACAUCUGGCACCGAUCCCCGGCGGGUCUUGGCAGCUGGAUUCGCAGCACAGGUGAUGCAGAGCCCAGGGCUCCUCAUGGUCAAGGUCUGUUUUACUUGCAACCACAAAAAAUCAGUGUCUUUCCCCCACCAUUGGCUUGCUAAGACAAGAUGCUGUGGUCAUUCUCUGUCAUUCUCCUGCUGGGGCUUUUCAAACCGUGUGCUAAGUCCCAGCUCCAGUGCAGUCUCCUGAGGGGGACUGGGGCAUUUCAUGGAUUGGAUUCCUUAGGACUAGAUCCCUCUCACCGCCCCUCUUGUGGAACAGAGAGAGAAAACACAAUAUGCUGUCAGGAAAUAAUGCCAAGCAUAUGCCACACAGCAGGAGGUGUCAAAAGAUGCUCCCUUCAACCUCACAGGCAGCUGUGUGCCUUCUGCAUUAGCCAUGCAGAGAAAAUUACUCAAGCAAUUUGAUGUGGGUAUUUCAUAGCCCUUUAUUUCCGGGGGCAGGUUUCACCUACAGCAAAGGUGCCUCUGCAAGUGAGGCAAGGAGAACAGCUAUGCCUGUUCUCUGGUAGCUCCUCCCCAUUUUGUAUAAGAGAUACCAGUGUUUCCCAGUAAGAAGUGCCAUUCUUACCUACAGGGUUGCUAGUGCUAGAUUUAAAAUGAAUAUUAAAUAUCUAUUAACCUGGGUGGGUUUAGGGCUUUUUUUUUUUUUUCUUUUUUUGCCAGAUUUUUUUGUUUUAAACAGCUCUCUUUUUGGCAGACAGGGAAGUGUCUUACACUUUCUCCACAGCUUGCCUGGUGGUAGCUUCACAGGAAUGCUGAAGGAUACAGUGGAGUGCUUGGCUGGACCUGGGCUGGACCAGCCUGUGAUUCCAUAUAUUAUCCUGCACCUGCUGCAGAGCAAGUCAUGGACCUCCUCCCUUCAUCCCAUGCUCCUGAAGAAAUGUGUGUGUCCACUGAGGUUCCCAGCACUCCCCUGUAGCUGUGAGCCACAAAAGCUUUGAAUGUGCAGGACGCUGUCAAUGAGCUGUAAAAGGGGGUGAGCUCUGAAGAUGCACGUGUCAAUGGCACAUUUCUGCACCUAUUUUUGUCUGCUCCUUGGAGAAGACAUGUAUCUUUCCUCUUCAACAAGUGCUGUGCUCCUCUGCGCAAAACCCAGGGUGGAUAUCUGUUCCUGGGAGGAUGCAAAGGCACAUCCCACCUGAAGGUGACAGCUCAGUGUUGGGGAAAUGAUUCUCUGCUGGAAGUGCCUGCCUGUUGGACACAGCAGAAUUUUCAAGGGGGUGGGUGUUGCAUCAUAUAUUGGAGGUUGACUUUUAGCUGGAUGUAUAAAUCUUGGCCUUCCCAAGGCCCGGGUCUUCCCUGGGACCGCUGCUCUGUCUCUUUGCAUUUCUGGGGAGAGGAAACUGCAGCUCACCUCUCCGCAAGCACAAAUUAGUUGGGUUUUGUUGCUUUGUGGGUUAGUGGUUUUUUUUUUACUUUUUUGGGGUUUUGCAUGUUCAGUUUGAACAAUAAAACAUCUGUUCCUGAG